rnacentral:rRNA from 1 species
UGGGGAAUCUUGCGCAAUGGGCGGAAGCCUGACGCAGCAACGCCGCGUGCGGGAAGAAGGCCUUCGGGUCGUAAACCGCUUUCAGCAGGGACGAAGCUUCCGAGGUUAAUAGCCUACGGGGUGACGGUACCUGCAGAAGAAGCCCCGGCUAACUACGUGCCAGCAGCCGCGGUAAUACGUAGGGGGCGAGCGUUGUCCGGAUUUAUUGGGCGUAAAGCGCGUGUAGGCGGCUUGGUAGGUCUCGCGUCAAAAGCUGCGGCUCAACCGCAGUCCGCGUGGGAAACCACCUCGCUAGAGUUCGGAAGAGGAGAGCGGAAUUCCCGGUGUAGCGGUGAAAUGCGCAGAUAUCGGGAAGAACACCAGUGGCGAAGGCGGCUCUCUGGGACGUAACUGACGCUGAGACGCGAAAGCGUGGGGAGCGAACAG